AGUGAACGCUGGCGGUAGGCCUAACACAUGCAAGUCGAACGGCAGCACAGUAAGAGCUUGCCCUUACGGGUGGCGAGUGGCGGACGGGUGAGGAAUACAUCGGAAUCUACUUUUUCGUGGGGGAUAACGUAGGGAAACUUACGCUAAUACCGCAUACGACCUACGGGUGAAAGCAGGGGAUCUUCGGACCUUGCGCGAUUGAAUGAGCCGAUGUCGGAUUAGCUAGUUGGCGGGGUAAAGGCCCACCAAGGCGACGAUCCGUAGCUGGUCUGAGAGGAUGAUCAGCCACACUGGAACUGAGACACGGUCCAGACUCCUACGGGAGGCAGCAGUGGGGAAUAUUGGACAAUGGGCGCAAGCCUGAUCCAGCCAUACCGCGUGAGUGAAGAAGGCCUUCGGGUUGUAAAGCCCUUUUGUUGGGAAAGAAAAGCAGCAGGUUAAUACCCCGCUGUUCUGACGGUACCCAAAGAAUAAGCACCGGCUAACUUCGUG
rnacentral:rRNA from 1 species